CUUGGUGUUACUGCGAAGGGGGGACGGAGAAGGCUAUGUUGGCCGGGCGACGGUUGUCCCGGUUUAAGCGUGUAGGCUGGUUUUCCAGGCAAAUCCGGAAAAUCAAGGCUGAGGCGUGAUGACGAGGCACUACGGUGCUGAAGCAACAAAUGCCCUGCUUCCAGGAAAAGCCUCUAAGCAUCAGGUAACAUCAAAUCGUACCCCAAACCGACACAGGUGGUCAGGUAGAGAAUAC
rnacentral:rRNA from 1 species